UUUGUAUUGUCUUUUCAUUACUGUUUCCAAGGAAUCUUGCAAACAGAUUGUGCUAGUUUGUCAGUUACGAAAGUUUUUGAAGAAGUUUUUACCAAAUUCAACCAGAAAAAAAGGAUUCGUUCAAUAUGACCAUCAAGGUUAGUAAAUUAUUUUGGAUUGGUUUAUUAACAGUUUUUCUGCUGCUAGAAAGUGUUAGUGAAGCUGCUUCUACAGCGGCAGCAGCAGCAGCAGCGGCAGCAGCACCAGCUGUCGUGGCCACCACUGCUGGAGCAGUUAGUGAUUUUGUGAUGGAGUUUUCGAUGAUCAACUUUCUCUUCAUAUUGUUGCCGUCGUUAGCCCUUAUGAUGUUGGCAAACACAUCAUAGACUGUUUUGAAAACAUUUUGGCGUUCGAUGAUAAUUGAAAUAUUGUAUAUUUAUUCUAAAUAAAGAUUGUAAUUCCUUCCUACA